rnacentral:rRNA from 1 species
GAUGAACGCUGGCGGCGUGCCUAAUACAUGCAAGUCGAGCGAACAGACGAGGAGCUUGCUCCUCUGACGUUAGCGGCGGACGGGUGAGUAACACGUGGAUAACCUACCUAUAAGACUGGGAUAACUUCGGGAAACCGGAGCUAAUACCGGAUAAUAUAUUGAACCGCAUGGUUCAAUAGUGAAAGACGGUUUUGCUGUCACUUAUAGAUGGAUCCGCGCGGCAUUAGCUAGUUGGUAAGGUAACGGCUUACCAAGGCAACGAUGCGUAGCCGACCUGAGAGGGUAAUCGGCAACACUGGAACGGAGACACGGUCCAGACUCCUACGGGAGGCAGCGGUAGGGAAUCUUCCGCAAUGGGCGAAAGCCUGACGGAGCAACGCCGCGGGAGUGAUGAAGGUCUUCGGAUCGUAAAACUCGGUUAUUAGGGAAGAACAAAUGUGUAAGUAACUAUGCACGUCUUGACGGUACCUAAUCAGAAAGCCACGGCUAACUACGUG